CAGAAGUCCUCCAAACAACAACACGAGAGCGCAACAAUAAUUCUUGCACUUCACUUCUUCACCGCAACACUCGCUGGACAGACACAGAAGGUUUUAUACAAUUUUUAACUGUGGCUGCGUGUGAUGUAUUCGUCAUCUCUGUGAAACGUGGCUAACCAAUGGAUAGAGGCAGAGGAGGAGGAGUUGGGAUUUAUGUUAAAAGCCAGCAUAAUGUAAAACCAUUGGAUUGCUUUUUUAUAUCGCCAGUGAUUGAACGACGUGGGAUAAGUAUUUCUAUUAACAA